rnacentral:rRNA from 1 species
AGGACGAACGCUGGCGGUGUGCUUCACACAUGCAAGUCGAACGGGGUAGCAAUACCCAGUGGCGGACGGGUGAGUAACGCGUAGGAAUCUGCCUUAAGAUGGGGGAUAGCAGACCGAAAGGUCUAUUAAUACCGCAUAUGUAUACAGCCCGACAGGGCAGUAUAUGAAAGGAGUAAUCCGUCUUUAGAUGAGCCUGCGUCCGAUUAGCUAGUUGGUGAGGUAAUGGCUCACCAAGGCUACGAUCGGUAGCUGGUCUGAGAGGAUGACCAGCAUCACUGGGACUGAGACACGGCCCAGACUCCUACGGGAGGCAGCAGUGGGGAAUAUUGGACAAUGGGCGAAAGCCUGAUCCAGCCAUGCCGCGUGGAUGAUGAAGGCCUUAGGGUUGUAAGUCCUUUUAACGGGAAGAUAAUGACGGUACCGUAGAAUAAGCCCGGCUAACUUCGUGCCAGCAGCCGC